rnacentral:rRNA from 1 species
GGGAGUUUUCGGCAAUGGGGGGAACCCUGACCGAGCAACGCCGCGUGAGUGAUGAAGGUCUUCGGAUUGUAAAGCUCUGUUGCGGAGGACGAAUGAUCAGGCGAGGAAAUGCGCCUGGUUUGACGGUACUUCGCCAGAAAGCCAUGGCUAACUAUGUGCCAGCAGCCGCGGUAAUACAUAGGUGGCAAGCGUUUAUCCGGAAUUAUUGGGCGUAAAGAGUGAGCAGGCGGCCGUUUAAGUCUGAAGUCAAAUCCAGGGGCUCAACCCCUGUCCGCUUCGGAUACUGGACGGCUAGAGUACGAGAGAGGUAUGUGGAAUUCCAUGUGUAGCGGUGAAAUGCGUAGAUAUAUGGAGGAACACCAGUGGCGAAAGGCGACAUACUGGCUCGUAACUGACGCUCAGUCACGAAA